GAAAUCCGGAUUAAUACCUCAUAAUGCAGGGGUACCUCCUGGUACUAUUUGCUAAAGAUUUAUCGGUUGUGGAUGGGCAUGCGUCUGAUUAGUUUGUUGGUGAGGUAACGGCUCACCAAGACCACGAUCAGUAGGGGGUCUGAGAGGAUGAUCCCCCACACUGGCACUGAGAUACGGGCCAGACUCCUACGGGAGGCAGCAGUAGGGAAUAUUGGGCAAUGGGCGAAAGCCUGACCCAGCCAUGCCGCGUGAAGGAUGAAGGCCUUCUGGGUUGUAAACUUCUUUUAUAUAGGAAGAAAAAGGUCAUGCGUGACCAAUUGACGGUACUAUAUGAAUAAGCACCGGCUAACUCCGUGCCAGCAGCCGCGGUAAUACGGAGGGUGCAAGCGUUGUCCGGAUUUAUUGGGUUUAAAGGGUGCGUAGGCGGUCCGUUAAGUCAGUGGUGAAAUCCAGCAGCUCAACUGCUGAACUGCCAUUGAUACUGGCGGACUUGAGUACGGACGAGGUA
rnacentral:rRNA from 1 species